UGGCUCAGUGGUAGAGCGCUUGCCUAGCAUGCAUGAGGCCCUGGGUUCAAUUCCUCAG
rnacentral:tRNA from 1 species